GAGUUAGGUCAGAGCUACACUCUCUUAUAGACUAAGAGUUUUUAAAGAUUCAGGAUGGGAAUGUUUAUCAGAGGCUUGGACUGCUUCUGUGACUCUUGGUUGUGCUGUUUGGAUAAUGGUGUUCAUUUUUGUUGAAGAUUUGCUUCUCAAAUGAAAUUCAGUAUGAAUUCACUGCCAGUCAUGAUUCUUUGAUGCCUCAAAUCUAGUUUGGGUUUUAAAUGUUGAUUUAUCUCUUAGAUUGAGUGAAAUAUAUUUUCAGGUAGAAAAGAAUUUUCUAUACUUG
rnacentral:lncRNA from 1 species